UACGUAGGGUCCAAGCGUUAUCCGGAAUUACUGGGCGUAAAGAGUUGCGUAGGUGGCAUAGUAAGCGAAUAGUGAAAUGACGGGGCUCAACCCCGUGUCCAUUAUUUGAACUGCUAAGCUAGAGAAUAUGAGAGGUAGAUGGAAUUCCCUGUGUAGGAGUGAAAUCCGUAGAUAUAGGGAGGAACACCGAUGGCGUAGGCAGUCUACUGGCAUAUUUCUGACACUAAGGCACGAAAGCGUGGGGAGCAAACGGG
rnacentral:rRNA from 1 species